GAUGAACGCUAGCGGCAGGCCUAAUACAUGCAAGCCGAACGGCAAUCCCGACGGCAACGUCGGGACUAGAGUGGCGUAAGGGUGCGUAACACGUAUGGAAUCUACCCGCAACAGGAGGAUAGCUCUCCGAAAGGGGAAUUAAUCCUGCAUAGGAUUUAGGGGCGGCAUCGCCUUUAGAUUAAACUUCAAGGGUUGUGGAUGAUCAUGCGCAUGAUUAGUUAGUUGGCGGGGAAGGGCCACCAAGACGAUGAUCAUUAGGGGAACUGAGAGGUUGAUCCCCCACACUGGCACUGAGAUACGGGCCAGACUCCUACGGGAGGCAGCAGUAGGAAUAUUGGACAAUGGGUGAGAGCCUGAUCCAGCCAUGCCGCGUGCAGGAAGAAAGCCUUCUGGGUUGUAAACUGCUUUUACCGGGGGAUAAAACACUUUGCGAAGUGAUUGAAGGUACCUGGUGAAUAAGCACCGGCUAACUCCGUGCCAGCCGCCGCAGU
rnacentral:rRNA from 1 species